GGAUAACCGUAGUAAUUCUAGGGCUAAUACGUGCGAAGCGCCGAGCCGCGAGGCGACGGCGUUCUCGCCGGAUGUAGGAACCGACCCGGGGGACCGCCGGGGGCAACCCCGGCGCCCCCGAGACGGGGCGAACCACGGUGAAAUGACGGAUCGUCGGCCCCGCGCCGGCGACUCGCCGAAUGAGUUUCUGACCUAUCAACUCGAGACGGCGGGGUAGAGGCCCGCCGCGGUAACGACGGGUAACGGGGAAUCAGGGUUCGAUUCCGGAGAGGGAGCCCGAGAAACGGCUACCACUUCCAAGGAAGGCAGCAGGCGCGCAACUUACCCUAAUCUCGAUUCGAGGAGGUAGUGACAAGAAAUACCGAUGCGGGACCCUACGGGUGCCGCGUUCGGAAUGAGUACGAUUCGAACCACCUAACGAGGAACGAUCGGAGGGCAAGUCUGGUGCCAGCAGCCGCGGU
rnacentral:rRNA from 1 species